CCUGGGGCGGUAUACACAAAAGUUCUUAGCAUCGCUAAGUGCACUUAACGGCAAAGAAUCGUUAAGUUUUCUACUUAAAAUGGCGCUGGGCCGCUUAGCGCUGAAGCUGGAGCACUUAGCGGGCGGAAAAUUUAAGGCGGGGAAGGGGCUCCCUUAGCACCGUUAAAAAUGCAUAAGUAUUGCAACAUGGUGGAUUACAGCGGGAUGAAAGGCAUCACCUCCUAAUAUAUCUCCCUCGUCUAGACGAAUUGGAGGCGUGUAAUGAUUUGAAACUCAUCCUGAAAUAUCUGUGGACUGUGCUGACCGUGCUGAGAUGAGUGGUUCGGCGAGGCGGACCUUGGAAACACCUACAUGGCCAUCACGACUGAAGUGGUGUUCGCUGACAGGUAAAAUGCAGGUGCAACCUUCACAGACUGACAGAGAUUGAGUGAUAACAGACACUGGAGACCCUCCAAGCGAUGGCUGGUGACCGCCUGCCACCAUCCACAGGCUGUUACACAAAGAGCCCUGGGAGUAACCUUGCUGGAAGCCCCGCGGGCCGCAGUGUGUGGCUGGCGUUAUACAGCCCCCAGCCAUCGCCUGGAGGGCAUCCAGUGUCUGUUAUCACUCACCUUAGGUAGUCUGUGAAGGUCCAGUCAUCACUGGUGCACGUGUAUCUUACCUGUGAUCAACACCGGCAGCCACAGACUCCUGCCCAAGGAACGAACACAGUGAUUGUGAUGACAUUGACAACAACGAGCAAGUCCUCCUAGACCUAGAGUGACCUCAAGCUGGCCAAACAUGAUGUGGAAGAAGAAAUCAGUUGUCUCCAUCAGUCGGGUUUGUGCCAUGGCAGCUUUCUCCAGCUGUCCGGCAGAGGUCCAGUCCAUGCCAUGGAGAAAUUCAGCCCCCAACAAUGAGAUGGCAUGCCAGAGAUGGAUCCGCAGCUUCUCCUCCAAUCAAUCAAUCCUUGCAAUGCCCUUUCUCUUUUCUCUUCUUCUGUACCACCAUGCUUACACAUAACUGAUCCAAGGUACUUAAACUCGUUAACCUCCUCCAUUUCUUCACCAUUCAAAAUUAUUUGGCAUUCUUUUUCACAUUCAAUGCCCACUCUAUAUGGGCAUACAAACUCUACAACCUCCCUUCUACUCCGCUCACAAACCAUCACUUUACUUUUGUUGACAUUUACUUUCAACUUUCUCCUUUUACAUACACUAUCAAAAACACUGACCAAAUUUUGUAAGUCACUUUCAUUUUCUGCAUUGAGCACCGUGUCAUCAGCAAAUAAGAUUGAAUUCAUCACCCACUUCCCUCCCUCCCUCAGCAUACAUUUUUACUUCAAUUUCCCCAACUUUGCCCUUCAUUUCUCAUAACACCAUCCAUAUAAAUAUUUAACAACAUUGAUGAAUUAUAUAUCUUUAAGACGUCCCACAAUGCCAGCCAAUCGACUCUGUCAUAAACUUUCUUUAGAAUAACUAGAUCCAUGAAGGCAGCAUAGUAUUUUUUCCUUUUGCUAAUAUUUUUUCUAAUAAAACACCAUCCUGAAGGAAAAUAUCUGAUCCACACAUCCUCUUCCCUUCCUGAAGUCUCCUUGUUCUUCACUGAUUUUCUCUUCUGUAAGUCUUUGCGCAGUCUCAAUUAGGACUUUUCCAUAUACCUUUCCAGGUAGCCUACACUCAGCAGACUUAUACCCCUACAACUCCCACUUCCCCUCUCCUGCCCUUCCCCUUGUAAACUGGGACCAUGAUGGCUUUUGUCAAGUCUGCUGGGACCUCCCCCCCCCCUUCCCAGGCCACUUCACAUAUCUUGACCAUUCAUAUAGUAACUUCAUCUCCACACUUCAACAUUUCUGCUGUGAUUCCUCUCAAUUCAUUCAUCAUCAUCAUCCCAUCAAUGCCUGCUCUUAGGAGCUCCCACCAGGGGAUGGCCACGGCAGGAGUUUCCAUCUUUCUCUAUCCGGACAUUCCCUCCUUGCCUGCUCAAAGUUUCUCAAGGAUCUCUCAUCCUUCUCCCUAACGUACUCCUGCACCCUAUCUCUCCAUUUCACUGGAGGUCGUCCUCUAACAUUCCCUCCCUCAAUCUCACAUACACCCUUCUGGUCAUCUUACUCUCCUCCAUUCGCUCCAUGUGGCCAAACCACUUUAAAAUCACUCAUUCCCUUCACCCCCGUGACACAUUCCAAAAUGCUCAUACACACUUUCAUUACUUAUUCCAUCCAUUCUACUCACACCACAAGCACUCCUCAAAUAACUCAUUUCCACUGCCUGCACUCUAGACCUCUGACUUUCAUUCAAGGCCCAUGUUUCACUUGCAUAUGUGAGGGUUGGUACUAUUAUUGUAUUUUCAACUGAUAACUGAUCCAGGGUACUUAAACUCAUUGACCUCCUCCAUUUCUUCACCAUUCAGAAUUAUUUUGCAUUCUUUUUCACAUUCAGUUCCCACUCUAUAUGGGCAUACAAAAUCUACAACUUCACUUCUACUCCCCUCACAAACCAUCACUUUACUUUUGUUGACAUUUACUUUCAGCUUUCUCCUUUUACAGACGCUAUGAAAAUCACUGACCAAGUUUUGUAAGUCACUUUCAUUUUCUGCAAUGAGCACUGUGUCAUCAGUAAACAGGAUUGAAUUCAGCACCCACUGCCUUCCCUCAGCGUACAUUUUUACUCCAACUUUGCCCUUUAUUUCUCUCAUGACACCAUCCAUAUAAAUAUUGAACAACCAUGGUGACAUGACACGCCCCUGCCUUAAUCCCACCUUUAUCUCAAAAUGUUCACUUGUUUCUCCACCAAUUUUGACACAUGCAGAUGCAUCCUCAUAGAAAGACUUUAUUGCACUAAGCAGUUUUCCUCCCACACCAUAAAUCUUUAAAACAUCCCACAAUGCAAUCCAAUCGAAUCUGUCAUAAGCUUUUUCAAAGUCCAUGAAGGCAGCGUAUAGUUUCUUUCCUUUUGCUAUUAUUUUUUCUCCUACCAUCCUGAAGGAAAAUAUUUGAUUGAUUCCAUCAGUUCCUGCUGCUUUUCCAUUUUUUAAUCUUUUUAAUGCCUGAUUUACUUCUUCAUAUGUUAUACUUCUUUCUUUAUAUACUCCUCUACCUCCGCUCAAAACUGUUGCUGUAACAGCUGCUGGACGUCCAUCAUCAAAAUUCAUUAAGUUUUUGAAAUAUUCUCUCCAUGUCUCUUUCACAGCUUCCCCGUCUUUGAACAUCUUUCCAUUCUCACCCAUAACUUCAUUAAUUUUCCUUGGGGAGAUAUUAUUGGGGUGAUGCUUUUCUUUCGUUUUUUACUUCUUUCCAAUAUGAUUUCCUGUUCCCUUUAUAUUUUUCACUUAGUCUUUUCCAAAGUCUUCACCAACUCUCUUCUUACUUUCUUUUAUUGCUUGUUUUAAUUUCAUUUUGCAUUCUCUAUAUUUCUUUUUCCUUUCCCUUUUUACUUGCUCAACCACAUUUCUUUCUUAAGUUUUCUUAAAAAAGUUCCCUUUUCUCUUUUACUAUCCUCCUUAUCUCUUCUGUCCACCAUGAAUUUCCUUUUCUUUUUCCAUCUCUCACCACUUUCAUCCCUACAACUUUUUUGUUGUAGUUAACACUACUUCUUUAAAUGUUCCAAAAACUUUUUCAGUAUCUGUACUAUCUUUCACACUUUCCCAUUUUUCACUUAAGGCCUCUGCCAUUUCACGUUAUACUCAUCUUUUAUUUCUUUUUUCCUGUAACUUUCUAUCUUCAGUAUUUCCUUUUUACUUCACCUUUCUUUUCAAACACCCACUUUUGCAAGAUGGUCAGAGCCAUCGAACAUCCCGCUUACUACCUUCGCGUCACAGAUAUCCUUUCUCAGUCUUCCCUCUACUGCCACAUAAUCAAUCAAUCCUUUCUGCUCAUAAUAAUUCCCCCUCCUCCAAGUGUAUAUGUGGAUAUAGGCAAAAGUAAUAAAGCCCCACACAUCAGAAGUUGUAUUGCUUUGCCUGGGUUAUGCAGAUGAUGUAGUAUUAGUGGAAGGAUUUUGCCUGAUCCUAAAUGACUUUGGUAUGGAAUGGAAACUUAUCUUUAAACAUAAUAAUGGAAAUUCACACCAGCAGUAGGACAGCGGGUGCUGGGAAACAAUAUCUUAGAGGUAAUAGAAACACAAGGUUAUUUAGCAUUUGAGAUAAGCAAGGAGGCCAUAGGAGAAAGCACAAAGAAAACUGAAUGAAGCCAAGGUAAGGAAAAUGACGGGUGUUAACAUCAGUGGUAGAGAAGGGAAAUUAGCCAGUAUGAAUAUGGAAGUUGCUUUUGGAUGGGGAAAGUAGUAACCCCACAGCUAUCUUGUAUGGGUCAGCAAAACUAACACUUAAGAUGUCGGGAGAUUAGAAGUCAUUCAAGACCAGUUGGCAUGAUAGUGUUCACAUGCUCUCAGGGGAAAUGGGGUGAAGCUUCUGAGAAAGGUUAACAAAGGGGAAGCUGAGUUUCAAAGAGAGGAAAUGAGUGAACACCGGUGGGCCAAAUUAAUAUAACACUGGAAAUUCAAGACAAUCCCCUUUGGAAAAAGGAAAUAUACAGAGAGGGAAAGCAUAUGAUGACACUGGAGCAGAGUGAAACAAUGUGAAUGGGAGACCUGUCAAA